rnacentral:ncRNA from 1 species
CGAAAAGCAAUGAGAGGAAAUCUAGUAGCAGUUAUCUCCCUGUAAUCAGAGAGUCAAUGGCUGGUGUGAAUUGACACAAAGAUAACGCGAAUUACAUUCCUUGAGCUUUCUUUGCGAAAAAAGCAGCAAAGAACGGAAAAACCGUUAAACGUUGAGUGGAAGGAUCAUAUCCUUCAAUAAGGGUGGUACCGCGUGUAAAAGUUAAGCCACGUCCCUUUU